CCUAAUAUUCGACUAAACAAAAAGUCACUCUUUCACCUUCCACCACUUCAUAUAUCCAUUUUUGAUCUUUGGAACUCUGAAACAGUCCGAUGAGAACGACUUCUCAGAUUUCCAAAACUCACUAUAUAAUAUCCACAGCCUUCUUCCACUUCCUUCGUAUUCCAACGUAAUUCCACACUCCAGCGACGAAGGGGCAGACUCUUACUCUUCUCCUUCCUCACUGCAACAUUAUUAAUCUCCUUGCUUUUGCCUUUUACCUCUGAAGUCAAUUUACCAUUUAUUCUAAUCAUCGGCUCUCACCUGAUUUCCUUAGCUAAUUAAUUUAUUACGUUUACAGCAGCUCACUCUUGGAGCUUAAUUGGAGCAACCGAUGGAGAGUGUGAAGAGAGAGACAUCAACGAAAUGUAUAGUUUUCAGAGAGCAAAAAAGCGACGGAGCAAGCGAUGGGGCUUUUGUUUCUUGGUUUUGUGUUCUGGUCAGAGAAGCACAUAAAAGAAGCCAACAUCGUUCUUUUGCCAACACCACUGAACUCUGGUACUUAGUCCGAUGGGAUCUCCACCGCAUUCUCAAUCAUCCAUGGGCCGCCACUCACGAGAAUCCUCCUCAACCCGGGUCUCGGAAAGUCAACGACGGCUCGAAGAGGAAAGGACACGGCGGAGAGAAGCAGUGGAAAGAGUGCGCGAUGGGUUGUUAGAUGACGGCGAUAGAGAUCGUGGCGUGCCUCCUCGUCGGUACUAUGUAUUGGCCUUCAUCGUUGGGUUCUUCAUACUCUUUGGUCUCUUCUCUUUGAUUCUGUACGGAGCUGCUAAACCUCAGAAACCGAAGAUAACUGUCAAGAUCUGAACUUUGCAGAGUAUAACAUUCGAGACGCUCAAGAUCCAAGCUGGUCAAGAUGCUGGUGGUGUAGGAUCGGACAUGAUCACCAUGAACGCGACUCUGAGUGUUUCGAUUUAGGCAAACAUCGUUCUUAUUCAGGAACAUAUAUUACUUCUGUCAAGCACCAAGAGAGGACUACUUUCAGCGAGCCAAGCCUUACAAAGAUCAUCCUACCACUGCAAGGUAUCCUCUUUUUCAUAUUGGUGCACCUUUGAUACUUAGAUUGUGGUUUUUUGUACUUUCAUCGACACGGGAGAUGUCAUCUGGAUAUGUAUCUGCUAUAUAGUUGUGCUUUAAUGGUUGGAUAAGGGUUACUAACACAGGAUGCAGAAGCUGGCAAAGGAUCUGAGUGUAGUGAUGCCAGUUAGCUUUUUUGAGUAGGCAAAUUAACGCACUUACAAUUCUGUUGCCAUUAUUGACUCUGAUGGAACUAACCUUGGGAUUUAUAGGAAGUCGCAUAUCCCUGAUGGACCAGGUGAAUCAAGUUUGGGGUUAGAAAGCACUCGACUUUCUUUUGAUGAUAUAUUUUCUAUUCUUCAGCUAUAUGUUGGGAUCAAUGGUUUCCCGAGGCAGCUAUACUGUUUUAUCCCACUGCCAUUGGCUCUGAACCUCAAGACCAGGGAUUGGAUUCGGGUGAUCAUUGGAGGAGUCUUUCCUGCUGGAGCUAAUGUAGUGAGCUAUUAGGUCUCAUCACUGUCCAUUUUCAAAGUCUAUCAGUGUAUUCUCAUCGAAUUUCUGUGUAUAACUUUUGACUGUAAGCGAUUUUACAGUGACAUGAGAAAAAAAUUAAUGUAUCUUGACACGAUGUGCAUCUGCCGUUGAACUAACCAGUCCUUUUUUCAACAACAAA